AUGGCCGAUAAGGAGGGGAAGGUCAUGAGGAGGCCGGCCCCUUCCCGGGUCGGGGCGGGCCGCACAGGCGCAGCCAAUGCCCGGGCCGGCUACUCAGGCCACCUGAUUGGAGCCUGGAGGGCCGGGCGGGCUGAGAACGUGCGCCUUCCUGCCCUGGCCAGGCGCCACGGUGGGAAGCCUCCGGAGGGGCGGGGGACAGGAACGACGGUGGCAGGUGAGGGGCCUGGGGGGCCUCCCUCCCCCACUCCUUCCCUUCCUUGGCAGCGUCUGCCCCCAGCAGGAUGAAGGAGCACUGCUGGAGGAGUCCCUGGCAUAAACCUGCCCCGGCACCUGGCCAGCUCGCCUGGCCGGCCCAGCCACCAAGGAGCCACGGGGGCCGCAGAGUCAGCAGUUCCCCUGGCUUGAGGGCGACACCAGCCCCAACAGAGCCGGACUGACCAAGGCCGAGGUGAGAGGGGGUGGGCAUCUUCGUCCCGGCCCAGGCGCAGGAACUGCUGACCGCUUCCUGCAGGCCUGUGACCCAGGGCGGGGUGGCCAUCGGUCAUCAGGAAAGCCUGUUUGGCCCCGAUAUCCUUGUUUUGCAAAGAGGUGUUCCUGAAAUUGCGGGGCCCUGCUCUGCUCAUCCUUAAUCGGGGCCAGAAAUAACAAACACAGGCCGAGCCUAGCUGAGUACAGGCACAGUUCUAGCCCGUUCCGUGUGUCCAGUGCCAGCCGGGAGCCGGGCUCCAGGCUGGCAGCUGCUGUCUCUGUCCAGGGAUGUUUCUGUUCUCAAACAGGAAUCAACCCCUAGAGGCAGCUCCAGGCUGAUUUCUGCCCUCACGUCCUCCAGGCCGGUUUCUGCCCGCGUGUCCAGCUCCUCAGACCUGGGUGGGGCUCAGGAAUGCGGCACCUUGCGAGAUGUGCCGCUGUGUCUUUGUCCGUUUGUCUUUCUAGGAAACUGCGUUAAGUUGGGUCCCAUCUGCGUCCUCACAGACAUGGAAUCAGAGACCAGGAAAGACCAAGGGCUGCUGCCUGGUGAGGAGCCGGGUCAGCCGUGGGCGCAUUCACCAGGCAGGGCCUGGGCUGGGGGCCACCUCCCUGGUACUUUUAAUAUGAAAGGACCUUGAGACCUUGGGUGAGGGGCUUUCUCUUCCUGAGCCUCAGUUUCCCCAUUUGUAAGCCUGAGGAAUCUGCUUUGCGACCUUGCUGUCCAGUGCCCUGUCUGAGUUUGGAGCUCAUCUCCUAUACUCCUAGUGUGGGUUCCCAGGAACGCUCCAUCGUUGAAAGGCCUGUGUUUGUAGCUGCA
rnacentral:lncRNA from 1 species